GAUGAACGCUGGCGGUAUGCCUAACACAUGCAAGUCGUACGAGGGUUUUUAACUCUAGUGGCGGACGGGUGAGUAACACGUGAGAAUUUGCCUUUAGGAGGGGGAUAACAAUCGGAAACGAAUGCUAAUACCCCAUAUGCUUUCGAGUGAAAUGGAUUUUAUCCGCCUAGAGAGAAGCUCGCGGCUGAUUAGCUUGUUGGUAAGGUAAGAGCUUACCAAGGCGACGAUCAGUAUCUGGUUUGAGAGGACGAUCAGACACACUGGAACUGAGACACGGUCCAGACUCCUACGGGAGGCAGCAGUGGGGAAUUUUCCGCAAUGGGCGAAAGCCUGACGGAGCAAUACCGCGUGAGGGAAGAAUGCCUAUGGGUUGUAAACCUCUUUUUUCAGGGAGGAAUAAAAUGACGUGUACCUGAAGAAUAAGCAUCGGCUAACUCCGUG
rnacentral:rRNA from 1 species